ACAUAAGAGUGUAAUAGGGCAUAAAAAGGUUUGAUCUUUUAGGGGCCAGUGGGAAUCUGGUGUGUGUAUU
rnacentral:tRNA from 1 species